UGUACUGUGGGCCUGAGAUCCCCUGCCAUUUCCCAGUCUCUGCGAAGAUCAGGCGGUGCAGCUGUUUGCACAAGGGAGCGCACUGGCCCAGCCCCAAUUACCUGGGCUUUUUCCUGAUCUUUACCUUUGACUUUGACAAGCAUUGCCUCCUGAAGGUGCCACCUCCCCAGUGGGGAAUAUUUCCAUUUGAUCGAGUUGUCCCUUUUUUCCUUUUUCAAGUGAUGGACCAAAAGGCUGUUCAGGAGGAGGAACACUCAGGGAGAAGCAGUGGCUCAUUGGCAGCCCUAGCUGCAGGAAGGAAGGCGAUGCCAGACACGGGCACAGGCACAGCAGAUGCAGCCGGAACCACAAGACCUGUUACCGAUGCCCAGGAUGGCCUCGGAAGGGGUUUCUGUCAGGGAACAGGCUGCUGGCUAGGGUUACUGGCAGGCGUGCUUUCUUUGGAGCUUGUCUUCAUGUUGUGCUGCUUUGGAAUCGGGUAUUCCUGGAAGAGAAAACAGAGCGCCUUGGGACAGGAGUUGGAAGACGGUGGCUGCACCUCACACCCAGACAGCGUGAGCAGCCCCUCCAGCAGCAGGAAUGGCCUGGACAGCCCUCUCAAGUGUUCUGUGAAGAGGACUCCAGAAUAACCGUCUACGACGAAGCCUCCUCUUACACUGUAGAUCCCCCUGUCACCUGCUCUCCCCAUAGGCCUCCCCAAGCUGCCUUCAUCCCUUUUUUUAUCUCAGUCUCUCCCAUCCCAGCCAAUCCGAAUUCCUCUAGAGACCCCAGGACCAGCCCAGCAACAUCCAGCCCCUCCUCAGACCAACACAUCCCUCCCUCUGCCCCUGAGCCCUCUGGCCUUGCCCUCUAGGCAACACUGAAGGUGACACCCCACCCCCACCACCCCCCCGCUUGCAGGGUAGGCAAUGGCCCAUUCCUCUGUUCAAAUAAAGAGAUGGAUCUGUGUUGUGGUUUGAAAGCAAAA